CCCACUGUCAUUUCCAUUUGUACGCGAUAGGCAAGUUUGGUCGCGUCGUCUCGCAGCAAAGAACAUUCUCAUCUCCUCUCUGGCUCUGAAGUCCGACCCAUCUGCGCUUUGCUGGAGACAAUAUCUGCAGCAUCAUCGAAUCAAAACUCAGUACAUUUUAGAAAUGACGGAUUUCGAAAAUGAAAAGCCACUGAGAAAGAUAUCAGAGGCGUUUAAGGAGCUAGCUGCCACUGUAAACUCACAAUCUGCUGAUAUUGAAGUCGCUCCAUUCUCUCGAGCUUGCUCUCUCGUCUCUCCUCUUUUUGGCUGUUUGGGUAUCGCCUUCAAGUUCGCCGAGAUGGAUUAUGUUGCUAAGGUUCGUGAUCUUGCAGACGCAUCGAAAGUGAUUGUGACCUUGGAAGCCAUGCUGGAUAGGGACAUGGAACAGAAAACCGUGAGAAAAGCGGGUAGUCAUUCAAGAAAUCUUUUGAGGGUAAAGCGUGGGCUUGACAUGGUCAAGGUUCUCUUUGAGCAAAUUAUUGUUACAGAGGGGAAUUCUUUGAAGGACCCAGCUUCCAAGGCUUAUGCACAAGUAUUUGCUCCUCACCAUGGGUGGGCUAUCAGAAAAGCUGUUGAUGCGGGGAUGUAUACCCUUCCUACAAAAGCACAACUUUUAAAUAAGCUGAAUGAAGAUGGUGAGUGCUUGCUCUGAUAAAUGCACUUGUUUCUGAGAUUUGUUCUCAACAGCUCUUGAUCUGCACAAUGUAAUUGAAGUGCUAAAGCCUUGGUUCACUUAGAAAUCUGACUUAUGUGCCUAGUUAUUCCCUUGGUUAAUUGAAAACUUUAGGAUAUUUGGACCAUUAAUUUGCAUGUAUGCGAUAACCAUGAUUCCAAAUGAAUUAGGGUUUAGAAUUAAUGUAUUAUUGUAACAAGUUUGCAUUUAACAUGUUGCUUUGCUGUGUAGUUGGUCAUUUAUUGUGAAACUUGCUUUUGGGUGCUUGGGAAAAUAUUACUUCAGAUUGGAGCUUUUAUUAAAGUUUUACCUCUUAAUCCAAUAACAACGAUUCUGUUUUAUUUGUGCUUCUUAAAAAAAAUGUUUUUUUGCUGCUAACCAAAUGCUACUUGCAUUUGCUUUCAAGUGAGGACUUCUUAGGGGCCAAAAGAGAAGAAACUGACCUUAUGGCUUUAAAUUAUUUCUGGUUGUAUAAUUGUACGUUCCAACAUUGAUUUUGGCUUUCAGAGACCUCAGCCAGGAUUCAAAUGGAGUAUUAUAUUGCUGCAUCUGCACCAGUCAUUCUCUACAUUGACAAACUCUUCCUAUCUAGGGAAUUGGAUAUAGAUUGGUGAACAAUCUGACUUGUCACUGAUAUGUAUUUAUUGUAAUUGCGUUUUUCCUUUCAUUUCUCUUUUAUUCCAGACCAGCAAGUUCAUAUUUUUAUAUGAGACCUAUAGAGUGUAUUUAUUUGGCUUUUAAAAUAACUCAAAUCCUGCCAAAUAAUUGUGUCGUGCAAAGUUUGUUGUUGUUAUUAUUAUAAAUAAUUUUAUUAUUUUAUUUGAUUGUAUUUGGAAUUGACCAUCUGUAGUUGGGAAGAAC
rnacentral:misc_RNA from 1 species